rnacentral:rRNA from 1 species
UACGUAGGGGCUAGCGUUUUCCGGAAUCAUUGGGCGUAAAGCGCGUGUAGGCGGCCCGAUAAGUCCGCUGUGAAAGUCCAGGGCUCAACCCUGGGAUGCCGGUGGAUACUGUCGGGCUCGAGUCCGGAAGAGGCGAGUGGAAUUCCUGGUGUAGCGGUGAAAUGCGCAGAUAUCAGGAGGAACACCAAUGGCGAAGGCAGCUCGCUGGGACGUGACUGACGCUGAGACGCGAAAGCGUGGGGAGCAAACAGG